AAUAGAUACCCGGGUAGUCCACGCCGUAAACGAUGAGUGCUAAGUGUUAGAGGGUUUCCGCCCUUUAGUGCUGCAGCUAACGCAUUAAGCACUCCGCCUGGGGAGUACGGUCGCAAGACUGAAACUCAAAGGAAUUGACGGGGGCCCGCACAAGCGGUGGAGCAUGUGGUUUAAUUCAAAGCAACGCGAAGAACCUUACCAGGUCUUGACAUCCUCUGACAACUCUAGAGAUAGAGCGUUCCCCUUCGGGGGACAGAGUGACAGGUGGUGCAUGGUUGUCGUCAGCUCGUGUCGUGAGAUGUUGGGUUAAGUCCCGCAACGAGCGCAACCCUUGAUCUUAGUUGCCAGCAUUUAGUUGGGCACUCUAAGGUGACUGCCGGUGACAAACCGGAGGAAGGUGGGGAUGACGUCAAAUCAUCAUGCCCCUUAUGACCUGGGCUACACACGUGCUACAAUGGAUGGUACAAAGGGCUGCAAGACCGCGAGGUCAAGCCAAUCCCAUAAAACCAUUCUCAGUUCGGA
rnacentral:rRNA from 1 species